rnacentral:lncRNA from 1 species
CCCCGUGGCUGGCCUCGGCAGUGAGCUUCCCCCGGACGCCUGUAAGGACGCUUCGGGCUCAAUAUAUAGCCUCGCUUAGGCGGCUUUUUCAGCUCAGGGUGAGGCGCCGGCGCUACCCAGCGCGCAUUGCGGCUUAUGCUGAUUUAGAGCCGCCCAUUCGUCGGAAGGGGGUUGGGGGCGUGUCCCGGUGUGAGGGUUAAAGCGCGGGCUCAUGGGGGGGGGUGGCUCCGCCGUCUGAGGGGCUGUGUUCGGAGCUGGAGUCGCGAGCCUGCGUGGUGGGCAGUGGGGCUGAAACCUGCCCCACUGUGGGGCCCCAGGCUGUGCGGUCUCGAUUUCGGGCUGCUUGGCUCCCAGGACCACAGAGCUGGAAGUGACGGGCCGAGCCCAGGAUGCUGUGCUGGGCCAUCCCUCCCUUUGCACAGUGCUCAUUAACUCCCCUAACGCUCGAGUCAGACGCGGCCUCCGGUUAAAAACAGCAACCGCCCUCGUGCCUCGCCUGUUUCCCAGGAGCUGGCAGCCAGACAAUAACACCGAUGGGAUCAUCCUCAUCAGAAGAUGUCAGCCCCUCUGUAAAAUUUACAUAACUUGAAUUUGGAGUCGGGGCAGGGGGGUGGAGAGGAGGGAAGCAGAUUGAAAAAUAAAGAAUGCUG